rnacentral:rRNA from 1 species
UACGUAGGGUGCAAGCGUUAAUCGGAAUUACUGGGCGUAAAGCGUGCGCAGGCGGCUUUGCAAGACAGAUGUGAAAUCCCCGGGCUCAACCUGGGAACUGCAUUUGUGACUGCAAGGCUGGAGUACGGCAGAGGGGGAUGGAAUUCCGCGUGUAGCAGUGAAAUGCGUAGAUAUGCGGAGGAACACCUGAGGCGAAGGCGGCUAUCUGGCGGUGCACUGACGCUGAGGCGCGAAAGCGUGGGGAGCAAACAGG